UGGGGAAUUUUCCGCAAUGGGGGGAACCCUGACGGAGCAACGCCGCGUGCGGGAGGACGGCCUGUGGGUUGUAAACCGCUUUUCUCUAGGAAGAAGGUCUGACGGUACUAGAGGAAUCAGCAUCGGCUAACUCCGUGCCAGCAGCCGCGGUAAGACGGAGGAUGCAAGCGUUAUCCGGAAUUAUUGGGCGUAAAGCGUCCGUAGGCGGUUUAUCAAGUCAGUUGUUAAAGACUGCAGCUCAACUGUGGGCGAGCAACUGAAACUGAUUAACUAGAGUGCGGUAGGGGUAGAGGGAAUUCCCAGUGUAGCGGUGAAAUGCGUAGAUAUUGGGAAGAACACCAGUGGCGAAAGCGCUCUACUAGACCAUUACUGACACUCAGAGACGAAAGCUAGGGGAGCGAACCGGAUUAGAUACCCGUGUAGUCC
rnacentral:rRNA from 1 species